rnacentral:misc_RNA from 1 species
GUCACAUCCAUAAGUGUAAUGAAUGAUAAACUUUUUUCCAAUUUCCCGAUCCCAAGGAGGCUGCAACAUAAAGUCUUUCCGAAGAAUGUGCAGCACACCAUGCAAAGUUGAAGCUACAGCAUAUGCAUACCUUAGUUCAGCAAGAAAAGCAGGGGUGCCAAAAGUAUGUUAAUAUGGAGUUCCUUUUUAAUUUUUAAUUUUUUAUCAAUAGGUUAGCAUGCAGUUAAUACAAAGUAGAUAGUAAGUGAAUAAGUUUUUCCUACACCUACACUUACAUUUCUAGCACCCAGCCAAAAGUUUUAUCAGUCUCCUGGUCAUCUUUCAUUUUCAAGGAAACAUUCAUCCUUGUAGGAGCAAUUUUCUCCAACAAUUCCUGAAUAAUAUAAAUUCAUUUUUCUCCCAACCGAAACACAAGGAAUAUAAUAGCUAAACUCAAGCAAGUAUGACAACAUCAAGGAUAACAACAUACAAAAUUUAAUUUCAUUACACAAGCAUAAAAUAAUGUAUUUUCAAUAUUCAGAAUGGAAAUGGAUUAUCAGAACAUACACUGCAGUAAAUAAUUGGCCCAUUCUGAAGUUAGAACAAGGGAUUUCACCUUCUUGAUAAUGACAGGAGAAUUUCCAAUCGGAUCAACAUUUGUCACAGGACCUUUCUUGACUGUAUAAAACUUCCUUAUGAUUUUUUCAUUAUCAGCAGGUUUAAUGUAAAAAAAUGGAAAAGCAGCUGGAUACCCUCCAUGUGCCAAAUUUGGAAGAGUAUUUAUGAAUAUGUGAUCAGGCUCUACCAUCAAUAUGUAUCCGCAUGAAAAACAUGGAAACAGGCAUUAAGAAAUUGUAAAGGCAAAUUUUGUGUCAUUUCAAGACCAUCAAAAAUAGAAAAGCUCACUCUUCUUCAAUUGUAGCCUUUUCCAGCCAUUGCAUAAAAGCCCAAGGUCUAUUUAGCACAAUGUAUCCCCGAUCCAAGCCUGCUGGAAGAGGAUCAACCACAACUGUAGGAAUCUCAUCCAUCAAGUUAUCAGGAUUUCCUGAGUGCAAAAUUCAUGUGAAUCCUCCCAUCUCUGGCCCAGGUAGAUCUUUCUUUUUCUUAUACCAAUAGUACAUAAUGCGACACUGCCAUUUACUAUAAGGAGAAUCAGUUGCUGUUAAGGCAACAUGGAAGGGAACUUUGGCAUUCUUUGGUUUCUUUGCAUCUUCAGGCAUUUCAAUAACAGGAUCAAAAAACAGAGCACCAUUUGAAUCGUCACACAUCCAUUUCCCAACAGAUCUAUUGUGGAUUAUCGCAGUGACCAAAUUGUAUGUGGCAAAGAAAAAGCCAAGAACCAAGAGAAUGAAAAGCAACGGAGAAGCAUGCCCCAUUACCUUCCUCUCAAUCAUUGAUAGUCAAAUCAAGAUCCAAAAAUCUCCAAACUAUUGGAUUUUCAAAAAACAAAAAUCCUAGUAUCAUAAAAGGUUUAUAAGCAACCGUUUAUCGACAUUUUCCAAUAUGCAAGCCCAGAAUAUACGUUAUAAACAUUAUUUAAUCUGAUACAAUUCCGAUUUAAUUUAGGAGUUUUCCAGACAAAUGAAAGCUCCAGCCAGUAACCUGCACCUGCAAAAGAAUAAGUACCAAAAAUCGACUUUAGUAGCAACCAAAUUAUGCAAGAUCAGAUCCAACAAACACAAAUUCAAUGUAUAAUUUUCUCAAUAUAUCCAAAACUUUGAAAUUCCUUUCCAGUCUAUCAGUUCAUAACAUAAUUUAAAAGCAAAUUUAAACAAGGCAUCACUGACAGACACCACAAUAAUAAUCACGUUUGCCAUGUUGAAAUUUAAAACAGGGAAAGGAAAAAUAUCGCACGGAAUUCAUUGCACUAAAUUCUCCACUUGAACAGUUCAGUACACAACAUAUAGAAAUUUCCAGCCAUGUUUAAGCGAAGACCGCCAAAAUUGGAGCUCUCAAAUGUCAACACCAAUUUGGAAUCAAAUUGAAAGAGAACCGUCAAUACUUAUAUUAAUUGAACAAACACAAGAAAAAUUAGAAGAAAAUCAUGAAUUUCAAUCAGCAAAUAAAGAUGAAUUGAAUAAAUGGUGAAUUUUGCAGUAGAAUAAUAUAAUCACCUUAAGAAACCAAAUGGGUUCUCAAAAAAUGAAAAAUACACCAAUAGCAAUGAAAAAGAGACGAAAUUUACUUAGAAAAAGAGAAAAAAAUAAAAAAGUGAGAUAUGCUUUGAAUAAAGAAGGUGAAUAAAAUACAAAAACAAGAAUCAAUGUAGGAAUCGUGUUACUGAAUAAAGCAUGAAAGCUUAAAGAAAUAGCCAUAUAAUCACCCAUCUGACACUUCACCGCCAUUGGUCAUCGUCAUGCAGAGAGAGAGAGAGAAGCAGAGGCAGGAAAGGAGAGUAACGUACGAUCUGAUGUGAGUUGGUGACGUGCUCAUGGAGAUCAAAUGAUGGCUUUUUUCGGUUCGAGAAGUGAAAGAGAGGUUUGGAUAGUGAGGAUUUUUGCUUUCCAGUGUUUCUUCUGUGUCCUCUACCAGU